rnacentral:tRNA from 1 species
GCAGGUGUGGCGGAAUUGGUAGACGCGCAGCGUUCAGGGCGCUGUGGAUCAUUGAUCCAUGGGGGUUCGAGUCCCUUCAUCUGCACCA